UACGUAGGUGACAAGCGUUGUCCGGAUUUACUGGGCGUAAAGAGAGCGCAGGCGGUCGAUCAAGUCGAGUGUGAAAGCCCCCGGCUCAACUGGGGAGGGUCAUUCGAUACUGAUCGACUCGAAGGCAGGAGAGGGUAGUGGAAUUCCCGGUGUAGUGGUGAAAUGCGUAGAUAUCGGGAGGAACACCAGUGGCGAAGGCGACUACCUGGCCUGUUCUUGACGCUGAGGCGCGAAAGCUAGGGGAGCAAAAGGG
rnacentral:rRNA from 1 species